rnacentral:rRNA from 1 species
ACAGAGGUGGCUAGCGUUGUUCGGAUUCAUUGGGUGUAAAGGGUGCGUAGGCGGUUUGGAAAGUCAGAUGUGAAAUCCUACAGCUUAACUGUAGAACUGCAUUUGAAACUUCCAGGCUAGAGUGUGGGAGAGGUGAAGGGAAUUCCCGGUGUAAGGGUGAAAUCUGCAGAGAUCGGGAAGAACACCUGUAGGUAAGGCGCUUCACUGGCCCACAACUGACGCUGAGUGCACGAAGGCGUGGGGAGCAAACGG